UGCUAUAUGUGUAGGCAUAUAGGAAAAGAAUUGUUGUCAACUGUUCGACUAUGAGAUUUGAAAGAAUUUCAUCG
ncrna:unclassified sequences RT-6 RNA